rnacentral:rRNA from 1 species
AUUGAACGCUGGCGGCAGGCUUAACACAUGCAAGUCGAGCGGGGUGAUGGUGCUUGCACUAUCACUUAGCGGCGGACGGGUGAGUAAUGCUUAGGAAUCUGCCUAUUAGUGGGGGACAACAUCUCGAAAGGGAUGCUAAUACCGCAUACGUCCUACGGGAGAAAGCAGGGGACCACUUGUGACCUUGCGCUAAUAGAUGAGCCUAAGGCGGAUUAGCUAGUUGGUGGGGUAAAGGCCUACCAAGGCGACGAUCUGUAGCGGGUCUGAGAGGGUGACCAGCCACACUGGGACUGGUACACGGCCCAGACUCCUACGGGAGGACGCAGUGGGGAAUAUUGGACAAUGGGGGGAACACUGUUCCAGCCAUGCCGCGUGUGUGAAGAAGGCCUUAUGGUUGUAAAGCACUUUAAGCGAGGAGGAGGCUCUUUUGGUUAAUACCCAAGAUGAGUGGACGUUACUCGCAGAAUAAGCACCGGCUAACUCUGUGCCAGCAGCCGCGGUAA